rnacentral:tRNA from 1 species
GGGGCUAGCAGGUUCGCCGGGGAGUCCCUUGGAAAGUCGCCCCGACGGGUUCAACUCCCGUUAGCUCCACCA